GUCCUGGGCCGUGACUGGCGCUGAGGUGGAGCACCACCGGGGAGCGGUCUGACGACUGCGCACAUCGACGAGCCGUCGUGCCGUCGUCGUGGGGCGCAGUGC
rnacentral:ncRNA from 20 species